UGGGGAAUAUUGGACAAUGGGGGCAACCCUGAUCCAGCCAUGCCGCGUGUGUGAAGAAGGCCUUUUGGUUGUAAAGCACUUUAAGCAGUGAAGAAGACUCCAUGGUUAAUACCCAUGGACGAUGACAUUAGCUGCAGAAUAAGCACCGGCUAACUCUGUGCCAGCAGCCGCGGUAAUACAGAGGGUGCAAGCGUUAAUCGGAAUUACUGGGCGUAAAGCGAGCGUAGGUGGCUUGAUAAGUCAGAUGUGAAAGCACCGGGCUUAACCUGGGAACGGCAUCUGAUACUGUUAGGCUAGAGUAGGUGAGAGGAAGGUAGAAUUCCAGGUGUAGCGGUGAAAUGCGUAGAGAUCUGGAGGAAUACCGAUGGCGAAGGCAGCCUUCUGGCAUCAUACUGACACUGAGGUUCGAAAGCGUGGGUAGCAAACA
rnacentral:rRNA from 1 species